CAGUAGCCACGGUAAUACGAAGGGUGCAAGCGUUAAUCGGAAUUACUGGGCGUAAAGCGUGCGUAGGCGGUUUGUUAAGUCUGCUGUGAAAUCCCCGGGCUCAACCUGGGAAUGGCAGUGGAUACUGGCAAGCUAGAGUGUGUCAGAGGAUGGUGGAAUUCCCGGUGUAGCGGUGAAAUGCGUAGAGAUCGGGAGGAACAUCAGUGGCGAAGGCGGCCAUCUGGGACAACACUGACGCUGAGGCACGAAAGCGUGGGGAGCAAACAGGAUUAGAUACCCGGGUAGUCCCUGUCUCUUAUAC
rnacentral:rRNA from 1 species